GGGAGGAGGUGGUGGGGACGAGGGGGAGGAGGCGGAGGAGUUCUCAGAGCUAUGAAGAGUUCCUGGACUCGCACAUCAACGCGCGGGACCUCUACUACCUAGAGGACGAGGAGGUGGUGCGCGCUGUCUUGGCGCUGGGUUACCGCAGCAGUGGCGAGGAGAUUUUAACUCGCGACGAGUUCCAGAGACGUCGAAACCUCCGCAGGGAACAAGAGGAGAGAGAGGCGGAGAGACGCUGUACGCUGUACAGUGACGGUCUGGACAUAUCAGAUCCGCUCCUGAAAGCAAUCGCAGAGAGAGAAUCAUCACUCAAGAGUGGGAAACUUUCAACCAUUCUCUAUCUCCGUGCCCGUAACGGCCGUGGUGAGGAGUUCUCUGGCUACAUCGACCUGGCUGAGCGACUCAGCACCGAGGACUUCCGGCCAUACUUCACCGGAAAGUGUCUCCUGCUACCUCGCUCAACAGACUUGAGCUUCUACAAUUGGGAUACGAACGCCUGGAAUGGUCGCUCAAGCGCCAACUUCCUCCUGAUCAUUGACGAUGGUGGAGGAGCUGGAGGAGGUGGAGGAGGUGGUGGGGGAGGAGGUGGA